CAGGAGCUGGGAAGGGAAAAGUCUCAUCCAAAACCUCGAUUUUCCAGGUGUUUUUCCUUUUCCCUGUGACCUGGGCAGGCCCAGCAGCUGGGAAGGGCUUUGAUUCCUGCCCAGAGUUUGGGGAAGCCUUUCCCUGCUCUGGACAGGAUUUCUCGGGAUGCCCGUGGGGUCUCGGCGCUGCGGAGCCCCCGCCGAACAUUCCAGCGAUUUUUUUUGCCUGGAACUCCAUCCCCGGCUCCGUUGGGCUGGAAGUGCCUCGUUCACACCUCUCCCCACAUCCUUUCCCAUGGAACGGGGCGCAGCUGCUCCAGCUCGGCUCGGCCGAGGAGGAAUCUCCGAUUUUUCUCUCCUUUCCCCACCACACCCCGAGCAUUCCGUGAUUCCCGGGAGUUCCCGGCCGCCUUUAUCGCAUCCCUUUGGACUUUCACCUCUGGGCAGCCGCGCACUUUGCCCUUUCCCUGCACCUUUAAAGGGAUAAAGGCAAUUUAGAAGCCUCUGGAAAAGCCCCCGGGAGCUGUUGGAGGGGCUGGGCAGCGCUGCUGUCGGAGGGGAAUAAACCUGGAAGGGAUGAGCUGGGGAAGAAAUGGAAGCAGCUCGUGGCAGGCCAGCCCCAGAAGUUCAAAAACGCAGCACCAGGAGUUUCUACACCAAAACCACAAGAAAUAUUCGGGGUGGAAGAUAAGAGAACAGCCAGCCCCCACAAAAACCCGGCUCAGAGGCGGGGUGUGGGAUGGACAGAGCCGGGCAUCUCCCGGAUCCCCCCCCUGCACGGGCACGGCAUUCCUCGGCAGGAUUUGCAAUUUCUGCAGCAGCACCAGCCGGGCACGGCGCAGGUGGCUCGGCGGGGGCUGAGGUGACGCCGCGGUGACAUUCCCGGCUGUCACCGCCGCGCCACAGCCGCGUCCCCCGGGGGGCUCCGGGGUCGUGUUUGCGCUGCUGCCACCGCUCCAAAGCCGCUGGGAAGGAGCUGCUGGGCUCUGGCUGCUCCCAGCCCUGCUCUCCCAGCCCGGCCAGGCUCGCUGGGUGCCGCGGCAGCCGGGGGAAUGUGGCGGAUCUCGGGGCGGGGGGAGCCGGGGCUGCCCCAGGGAGGGAUUUGGUUGCAGGCAGGCGACAGCCAGGCUUUCAUCUGCUCCUGCGAGCCUCCUGCAGACGGAGGAGGAGGGAUGGAUCCCGGGCGAUGGAGGGCUCUCAGACUGAUCGAUUGCCCACGCUGUGGCGGGCAGGAAUCGCCGGACUGGAUCGGUACCAGGCUCCGAGCAGCCUGUGCUCCUUGAUCGAGCCGCGCCUGAGCCAUCAGGAAGCUGUAAAAAGCCUCCAGGAGCCGAUAAUCUGCUUUUUAUACCCCCAGCCACAGGCUCUGCUCUCACAGGAGCUGCAGCCUUAAUGGGAGCAGACCUUGAAAAGGAUGGAAUUGCAUUUCUCUUCUAAAAAAAAAAAAUAUA